rnacentral:rRNA from 1 species
CCUACGGGAGGCAGCAGUGAGGAAUAUUGGUCAAUGGGCGCUAGCCUGAACCAGCCAAGUCGCGUGAAGGAUGACUGCCCUAUGGGUUGUAAACUUCUUUUAUAUGGGAAUACAGUGCAGUAUGUAUACUUCUUUGCAUUUACCUUAUGAAUCAGGAUCGGCUAACUCCGUGCCAGCAGCCGCGGUAAUACGGAGGAUGCGAGCGUUAUCCGGAGUUAGUGGGUUUAAAGGGUGCGCAGGCGGAUUUUUAAGUCAGCGGUCAAAUCGUGGGGCUCAACCCCAGCCAGCCGUUGAAACUGGGGAUCUAGAGUGUGCGAGAGGUAUGCGGAAUGCGUGGUGUAGCGGUGAAAUGCAUAGAUAUCACGCAGAACUCCGAUUGCGAAGGCAGCAUACCGGCGCCCAACUGACGCUGAAGCACGAAAGCGUGGGUAUCGAACAGGAUUAGAUACCCCAGUAGUC